AAUUGUUAAUCUGUUUACUCUCACCUAG
rnacentral:piRNA from 1 species